rnacentral:sRNA from 1 species
UCGAGACAAAGAAGCCAUAUAUAUAUAGUAAUAAGUUAAGUCCCUAAACACCAUUAUCAAAACAAUGAUUUAGAAAAUCUGAUUUAAUUGAGAAUUCAUUGACCAGGGGUUCAAUAGAAGAUGAUGAGAUGACGAUGGGAUUAAAUGAUUGGGAUGAAGUGACCGGGGAUAGAGUGAUCGGGAUUAAGUAACCGGGGGAUGAAGUUACCGGAAAUGAAGUGACCAGGGAAAAAGUGACCGGGGACAGAGUGACCGGGGAUAGAGUGACCGGGAUUAAGUAACAGGGGGAUGAAGUUACCGGAAAUGAAGUGACCAGGGAAAAAGUGACCGGGGAUAAAGCGACCGUGGAUGAAGUGACCAUUGAUAAAGUGACCGGGGGAUAAAGUGACCGGGAUUCUUAAAUUUGUAUUUUUCCAUUCUUGCCGACCUAUACUUUAAUACUCAGACAAGACUCAUUCUGAGUUUGCACAUUUGUUUACAAAGUAGAGUUGACCAACACCUACCCAACUCGACCUGGCUUUAACACGCUUUCUAGCCGCGACUUGCAUUAAAGCGUGACUAUGCGUAUAUUACUAGGUUGCAUAUAUGGUUCAGUGUUUAUGUACUAUUUGAUCUUAGGCUUUGAAAAAUAUUAGUAUCUUAUUUAUGAAAUAAACUUAAUAGAUUUAUAUUUUUUCUUUCGUGUCUUUAAAAAAACUUAAUUUGAACUUUUACUAUUUAUGUCUAUGAGACUUCAAAUUUUACGAAACAAAAUGAACAAUAUUGGAUUGGAAUCAUAUGGACAAAGUCUCUUAAUGGAUGGACAUGGGUCAAUGGUGCUUAUCACAGAAUUAACGUUGUAAGAGAAAGUAUUUUAGACUACGGAUACUGUGCCAAGUAUUCCCCA